UACGUAGGGUGCAAGCGUUGUCCGGAAUUAUUGGGCGUAAAGAGCUCGUAGGCGGUUUGUCACGUCUGCUGUGAAAAUCCAGGGCUUAACCCUGGACCUGCAGUGGGUACGGGCAGACUGGAGUGCGGUAGGGGAGAUCGGAAUUCCUGGUGUAGCGGUGGAAUGCGCAGAUAUCAGGAGGAACACCAAUGGCGAAGGCAGAUCUCUGGGCCGUAACUGACGCUGAGGAGCGAAAGCAUGGGGAGCGAACAGG
rnacentral:rRNA from 1 species